rnacentral:rRNA from 1 species
UACGUAGGGUGCAAGCGUUGUCCGGAUUUACUGGGCGUAAAGGGCGCGUAGGCGGUCAGCACAAGUCAGUUGUGAAAUCUCCGGGCUUAACUCGGAAAGGUCAACUGAUACUGUGCGACUAGAGUGCAGAAGGGGCAACUGGAAUUCUCGGUGUAGCGGUGAAAUGCGUAGAUAUCGAGAGGAACACCUGCGGCGAAGGCGGGUUGCUGGGCUGACACUGACGCUGAUGCGCGAAAGCCAGGGGAGCGAACGGG